rnacentral:rRNA from 1 species
ACGUACACUCCUGCGGAGGCAGCAGUGGGGAAUAUUGGACAAUGGGCGCAAGCCUGAUCCAGCCAUGCCGCGUGAGUGAUGAAGGCCCUAGGGUUGUAAAGCUCUUUCACCGGUGAAGAUAAUGACGGUAACCGGAGAAGAAGCCCCGGCUAACUUCGUGCCAGCAGCCGCGGUAAUACGAAGGGGGCUAGCGUUGUUCGGAUUUACUGGGCGUAAAGCGCACGUAGGCGGACUAUUAAGUCAGGGGUGAAAUCCCGGGGCUCAACCCCGGAACUGCCUUUGAUACUGGUAGUCUUGAGUUCGAGAGAGGUGAGUGGAAUUCCGAGUGUAGGGGUGAAAUUCGUAGAUAUUCGGAGGAACACCAGUGGCGAAGGCGGCUCACUGGCUCGAUACUGACGCUGAGGUGCGAAAGCGUGGGGAGCAAACAGGAUUAGAAACCCUAGUAGUCCCAU